rnacentral:rRNA from 1 species
AUGCUCAUUGUUUCGAAUUUGAGAACCAACUCACCUAGUUCUCUCUCUUGUUGCCGAGAGAGCUUGCACAGAAGGGAGGUGAAGGUGCGGAGGAAUAUAUGGGGGCGAGCAUGCCUGGCACUCUGGCAUGUUAGAGUGCGCGACCACAGUCAAGGUGGUCGGACACAACAUGUGCAAACUAGUUUGUUGCUUAAAGUUGCCCACUUAAUUAUACUAGUAUACAUGUACGUGCAAAUGCACACAUUGACAUCCCUCGUCCGAUUGGUGCAUUGCACAACAGCCAGCUCAAAACUCCGUCCCAAAUCCCUCUGCGAUGAUGCGAUUAGUACGCGCGCCACCGAUACUUAUGGACCGGCUGCCAAGGCGGCUGAGACAGCCAGCUACAUGCACGGAUGGACGACAACAGCAGCAAGCAUGUGGAUUUUUCCAGCAUUAACAUCUGUGGAUGGUUCUAGAGAACAAGAGUAG